UGUGUGCAAGGCUUGGCCUGUUAAUCCUACAUUUCUGUGCUCUAUUUCCAAGGGGAAUGUGGCAGCUAGCCAGCAUCUCUGAGCAGAGGGGAUCACGCUGUCGGUAAGCAGAGACAGAAGCAGUAGUGGGACAGCAAAGAGGAUUGCUCCUGGAUUCAGCAUGAAGUGGUUCCACAACGCUCCUAAGGAAACACGAGGAGUUACUUCAGUCCAGCAGCCCUUGCUCCUGCCCAGUGUGUCUGGGGAAAGGAUACAUUUGCAAGUGAUGCCACUGGACAUUGCUGAACAGAGUGGUGCACAAAUGGGAUUCAGCAGCUGCUCCCUUCCUGCUCUGUGCAGAUAACACUAGAUUUCAUGCAUGUGGCAGCUCCUAUCAUUUUCUGUCCAAAUCUGGGGGAGGGAAGGAUACAGAAGAUAGGAGGAAGCAAUAUUUUAUAUUGCUAUCUGGCAAACUUCUCAGAAACAUUGAAGAAAUGUUGUUAACACAAUUCUGAAAGAGAAACUGCUGCUCAGCUGAGAGUAAACAUGAUGCCCAAAGAACCUCUUGGAGAGGAUUGGGUGAAGGUGUGCAGAUAUGACUUC
rnacentral:lncRNA from 1 species